rnacentral:lncRNA from 1 species
GAAAAUGGUUCUCCGUUCUUCUUUUAUUUAGUGAUUCUUUCUUGAACCUCUCCAUAGGGUUAGACUCCUGUGAGAAUUUAGGAUUUUGUAAGAACUAGGAACCAUCUUAGACCAUAAAUUACAAUUAAUCCAACGGCCUAGAUUAAAAAUUAGGCAUUAAAUUGAUUUAUUGAAAUUAAUUGUUAAUGCAACGUUUUUAAUGAAUAAGGGUAAUAGUGGAAAUUACUCUUAAUGUAAAUAUGGUAUGAAGCAAAUAGAUUUGGUAAAAUCGAAAGGAAUCCCUGAAUUAUAGUGUUGACUCCUAUUGAGAAAUUAACAAAAAUCGAUUCACCUACAAUAAAUUACCUAUCAACAUCAAUCAUAUUCAUGUCUUUUCUUCCACCUCCAUUUUCUACCUAUCACAGCCAUUAAUAUUCUAGUAUCUUCUUCCACGCCAUUUUUUGUUGUCUUCCUCAACUUUCGGGUUAAACGCCAGCCAAUAGAGAGUACCUUUGUUCACGUUGGACUCGGAAAAUGUUGGUUUCCGACGGAGCUUCCUAAAAAUAACACUGCGAUUGUUUUUUUUUUUUUGGUUGAUAUGAACAUGCCAGCGAAGAUUUCUAUAUCGUCUAAAAAUUGUUAGUUUUUCGGCGAUUCCCGGCGAAUCGACGAUGAUAUAUGCAAAUAUUUGUUUUUGCCUUGGGUUUUAGAUAAUGUAUGUGGUUGUGACUGGUUUCCGAUUUUUUGGUGGUUCUUUGGCAAAAAGGUCCGAACUUAGAACAAUUUUUAUUUUCAAAAGUGGUUUCCGGCGAAGAGUCUACAAUCUAUGAACAUAUUUUAUUCCAAAGUUCUAGUUUCGAUGAAUAAUUUAAUUAUUUUGAAUCUAGAUGAGGAUGGGGUCGGGUUUCACUGUGAAAAGAGCUUAAGGACAUUGUCGUAAGCAUAUUUUUUUUCUUUUUUUUUUACUUGACUGGUUAAUUAAUAUGCUGGUUUUUUCUUUGUUCAUCACAUUGGUUUUAUUGUUCAUGUGAUAGCUAGACCACCCAAUAAGGAAGUAAUAAUGCAAAAUAAGUUGAUAGAAGCAGAGACGAAGGGUAUAGAUUAAAUACUUGAACAAAUGAAGUAUGCUAAUUAGUUAUUUUUGGAUCUAACUUGACAUAAUUUGCAGUUACAAAGUGGAGGCAAAGACAAAUGCAUAAGGCGCAAUUAUAUCGUGAUUAUAUGGCUAGGAAAGCCAAGCGUGAGGCAGUAAGAAUGAUGUACUAAUGUUCAUUGAAUUUAAUAUAAUGUUCACGAUACUGUUCCACUUGUUCAUGAGUUUCAAUGUUAUUGUUCAUUAACUCACAUUGUUCAUCAAAUGUAUGCAUUGUUCAUCAAAUGUAUUCAUUAUUCAUCAAAUGUAUACAUUGUUCAUCAAAUGUAUUCAUUGUUCAUCAAAUGUAUUUAUUGUUCAUCGAAAUGCAUCACAUGUAUGCAUUGUUCAUCAAAUGUAUUCAUUGUUCAUCAAAUGUAUACAAUGUUCAUCAAAUGUAUGCAUUUUUCAUCAAAUGUAUUCAUUGUUCAUCGAAAUGUAUUCAUUGUUCAUCAAAUAUAUUCAUUGUUCAUCAAAAUGUAUUCAUUGUAUGUAUUUUAAUUAUGGUGUUGUCUUUUAGCGAUUUGCGUUGGCAGCGUACCUUUGGCGCAAAAACGAGUUUGCUAAGGCAGACACAGUAUCUCGAACACAAUUGCAGCUUGUAAAGAUGAAAUGGACUGACCACAAAAAUACAAUUGAUAUAGGUGUAUACCUUAUGCGUCAUUUAGAGACAUUUAUGGGCGAUGGAUCACCGAGCUGAAAAUGUUGAAUGUCGUCAUCAUCACCGCGUCACAUAAGUCGCAUAAGAGUAAGAUAUUGUGCAAGAAUCUUAGAUUGCGAGUACAACAAUGCGAGGGGAGAUGUUCUGAGGUGUGCAUCGGAGUAUUAUCGGACUUUGUGCGUGAAUACUAUGUUCAACGCAAACUUUGUUUUGCUUGGAUGAGAGUGAAGGAAUAUACUAUGAGUAUUGCUUUGAUUUGAAUUGUCGGGAGAAUAUUGAUUUGUUUUAUUUUACCAUGAAUAAUGAUACUAUAUGAACUCCAGUAUUUCAAUAAAUAAGUACUCGUUUUUUUAUCAUGUGCAAUGUGAUAUUUAGUUAUCUAAUUCGUAAGCUCUAGUUAUCUAAAUAUAUGUUUAUGUUCAUAGGUAAUGA